UACAGAGACUGCAAGCGUUAUUCGGAUUCACUGGGCGUAAAGGGUGCGCAGGCGGCCGUGUGUGUGAGGCGUGAAAGCCCGGGGCUUAACCCCGGAAUUGCACCUCAAACUACACGGCUAGAGCAUUGGAGAGGGUAGCAGAAUUCACGGUGUAGCAGUGAAAUGCGUAGAUAUCGUGAGGAAUACCAGAGGCGAAGGCGGCUACCUGGACAAUUGCUGACGCUCAGGUACGAAAGCGUGGGGAGCAAAAGGG
rnacentral:rRNA from 1 species